AUACCCAGCAGUCAAAUAGGGAAAUGGUUCCAAUCGUUAUUCCAUUUGGGAAUUUAAGAAACACUUAACAUAUGGUCUGUGUUUCGUGUAGACCUACCCUGGUGUGACCUUUUGAUAACCGUGUAAAUCUCUCUAGGACAAGGUGACUUUUAUCAAUAUAUUUACCUGCAAAAAAUUAAAUGUUAAUUAGCUGCUAAUGGGGCUAUCAUAAAGAACUGCAAAUACCAUGUGAUCUGGACAAGACUGCCAAAUCGAGGCAAUGACAUAUCAAAAGAUCUGAAUACAACCAGCUCUUGUGACUCUCAUUGACGCCACCUCUCUCCUCGUGACUUCAAACGGAACCCCCGGUAGGAGCACACACCUGGAAAAAAGAGAAAUAACACCCUGUCUGUGUGUAGUUUCACCACCAGAGGGAGCUAUUUGUCCAGGUUUUCUGUCCACUGAUCUCUUUCAGUGAGUGGAAUGUGACGUUGAUUUGCAGUGAGAGACUUAUGCUUAUGCCUGCCCAUACCAUAAUCCCACUGCCACUAUGGGGCGCUCUGUUCACAAUGUUGACAUCAGCAAAUCUCUCGCCCACAUGACGCCCUACAUGCUGUCUGCCAUCUGCCCGGUACAGUUGAAACCGGGAUUCAUCCGUGAAGAGCACACUUCUCCAGCAUGCCAGUGGCCAUCGAAGGUGAGCAUUUGCCCACUGAAGUUGGUUAUGACGACAAACUGCAGUCAGGACAAUGACAAGAACAAUCUUGGUUUGGGGCGAACGGGUGCAGAGACACAACCCCUCACCUCCUCUCCUCUCUGACUCCUCUCUCCAUUUCUGUCCCCUUUGGAUCAACCAGAUCGGGCCUGGUGUUAAUCCCUGGCAUAAGGGGGCUUGGCUGGAUUAGAAGCUGAUGUGGUAACAUCUGUAUGGCGGCUAGAUUAGCAGGGAGAGGGCCUGGGGGGAGCAGGGGUGUGUCUGUGUGGAUGUCGGGGCUAUGAUGUGACAGGAAGGGGGGGCUUGAGCCCAAGAUAUCCUGGAUUUCCUAGGAUGUCAAUUAUAUUGGGGAUGUCUAUAUGGUCAGGAAUUACAGCUUGGAUCUAUUUCUGUAUUCAUUCAACAACCUGCUUGGCAGUUCACAUGGUCAAAGUGUGUGUGUGUGUGUGUGUGUGUGUGUGUGUGUGUGUGUGUGUGUGUGUGUGUGUGUGUGUGUGUGUGUGUGUGUGUGUGUGUGUGUGUGUGUGUGUGUGUGUGUGUGUAAUAGUGUAUGAGUGUAUGAAUGUUCUUGCAUUUGUGUGUGUCUGUGUAGAUAGGGGGUGGGGAGCAGCUGGAUAUCUUUGACAUUUGACCCUGUUGAGCUUGACAUGUCAAUAUUUGUUAUAAUACUUUCAGUAUUUUAAUGCAAUAAUCAAUACAUAUAUUUAUGCAUAUUUAAAAUGGGGUGCAAUGUAUUGUAUUUUGCAGGUUUGGUUUUUGUAUGAAAAUAGUAAUGAAAGUGGCAUGAAAGUGACACUGUAAAUGACUGCCCUUGCAUGCUACAUUUUUUUAUUCAUAAAUCUUUAUUUGAGCUCUUAAAUAAUCAUAGUUUUACUAUAUUGAAUCUGAAGAAAAACAAAAUGACGCAAAACAUAUUUAUAAGCUAUGAUGGAGUCUUUGUUUAUUAAGAGAAAGAUCUCUGUACAGUCUAUAGGUUGUUAUUGAGGUGUACAUUCAGAAUGUUAUUGUUAAUUAUUAAAAAAAAAAUGUUUUA